rnacentral:rRNA from 1 species
CGGGGGGAGCAAGCGUUGUUCGGAUUUACUGGGCGUAAAGGGCGCGUAGGCGGCCACCGCAAGUCGACUGUGAAAUCUCCGGGCUUAACCCGGAAAGGUCAGCCGAUACUGCGGGGCUAGAGUGCAGGAAGAGGCAACUGGAAUUCUCGGUGUAGCGGUGAAAUGCGUAGAUAUCGAGAGGAACACCUGCGGCGAAGGCGGGUUGCUGGGCUGACACUGACGCUGAUGCGCGAAAGCUAGGGGAGCGAACGGGAUUAGAUACCCCGGUAGUCCUAGCCUUAAACGAUGAAUGCUUGGUGUCUGGGGUUUUAUAGUCCCCGGGUGCCGUCGCUAACGCUUUAAGCAUUCCGCCUGGGGAGUACGGUCGCAAGACUG